rnacentral:rRNA from 2 species
AACUCCUGCUUGCAGGAGGGAUUAGUGGCGCACGGGUGAGUAAUAUAUAGUUAACGUGCCUCUUAGUCUGGGAUAGCCAUUGGAAACGAUGAUUAAUACUAGAUACUCCUUCUCUCUAUAAUUAGAGUUGGGAAAGUUUUUCGCUAAGAGAUCGGACUAUAUCCCAUCAGCUAGUUGGUAGUGUAAGAGACUACCAAGGCUAUGACGGGUAGCGGGUUUGAGAGGAUGAUCCGCCACACUGGUACUGAGACACGGACCAGACUCC